rfam:Trichobilharzia regenti genome assembly, scaffold: TRE_scaffold0003074
UUACUGCUGAAGAAUCCCAAACUAGGAUGAAACGGCUGUUCAGUAA